CCUCGAGACUCUUUGACUGUCAGUUUGUGGCAGAUGGACAGCUGCUGCAAUGAACCCUUUGCCUGCUUCUUCCCAGGUGUGAUCUGUCUCCCCGGUAUGUGGCAGACACAGUCUGAGGUUUCAUACACAGGGACAGACUCAAAAUCCUGGAUAAUAGAGGAUUUUUACAAGAUUGGUACCAGAGAACACCUGAUCCUGAAGCUGGAGCUCAGGGAUGGUGUCCAGUCUAGUGGUGCCUCCUCCUCGGCUCAGCCCUGAACUUCAGAUGAUCUGCUUCUGUGAGCCUGGCUGUCAGUGUCCGAGCCUUCCCCCUUUCUGAGUAUAGCUUUACCAUUUUUGUCUCCAUUUUCCUGUGAUGCUGGCCUCACAGAUCGUUCUUAUAAGAGACCUACUCACUUUGAACCCCUAUCUUGGGCUUCUAGAGCAG
rnacentral:lncRNA from 1 species